UACGGAGGGUGCGAGCGUUGUCCGGAAUCAUUGGGCGUAAAGGGCGCGUGGGUGGCCCGGUCAGUUCGUGGUGAAAGCGCGGGGCUCAACCCUGCGUCGGCCAUGAAGACUGCCGCGGCUGGAGCACUGUAGAGGCAGGCGGAAUUCCGGGUGUAGCGGUGGAAUGCGUAGAGAUCCGGAAGAACACCGGUGGCGAAGGCGGCCUGCUGGGCAGUUGCUGACACUGAGGCGCGACAGCGUGGGGAGCAAACAGG
rnacentral:rRNA from 1 species